rnacentral:lncRNA from 1 species
GGGAGACCAGGCAGGAGGUUUUUGUCCUGUGUUGUAGACAAUGAAAGAAAGGAAUAGGUUUGAGAGAGUCACAGACUGGGGAUCAGCCUCUCUCUGGAAACUGCUCUACUUUCUGGCGCCUGAAAGAGGGAGUUAUCAGCUCUGCUUCAUUUUCUCCAUCACAAAAUGGGGCCAUUGACAACAUUGCAGGUCUCUGCACAAGGCCGUAUUCCCAGCGGGAUCAGCUCAUUAGUCCCACUUGCUGAUCUUCACAGCAAAGCGCCUACUCACCAGGAGCUGCAGGUGGAAGGACCAUGUGGAGCCCAGAGCUCUGAAGGGCCAGGUUAGUCUUUAUAUGCUGGAUUGUUCCUUGACCUCAUCCAUCCUUCUGGCAGCAGGGCCGUGUGGGGAGGAAUGCAGACUUUGGAGUCCCGCCAUUUGGAAGUGUGGGGAGCUGGGAAAUCGCUCUACCUCUGAGGUCUCCUUAGAACUAUCAAACAAGCUCUUUUGACAAACCGGAUGUUCGCAUUAAAGCGGAGGUUGGAGGAAGGGGCAAUGGUGCUUUAUGAAUAAUACUUGUUACACAGCCAUCGCUGAGACCUCUCUGCCCAUGAUGAAAGCCUCAGGCGUUCACUCUCCCUCUUCCUCGUAAUUGCUCUGUAUCCAAGGUUUAAUAGACCUGCAGUUCCUGUGGAGAGCGGGCUCAUAUUGGAGAGCUGGAUCUCUCGACCCCGGCCGUCUGAGAGGUGAGUCCAAAGGUUAAUGUUUCAUUGAGUGACUGACAAAGGCCUUUCAAACGAUGGCUAUAUUCUAGUUCCUGGGGGAGCUGUGGAGACCCUGUCUCCUGGUGGGGCUUUUAUUCUGGUGUCUGAGAUCACAAGAAAGGCUAUGGUUUGUGUGAGUGAGUCCAGCGUGAGCUUCUUUAGAGUCCUGCGUGGGAAAGCAUUGGGUAUCCCAAGGGUUGGGGUCUUUCCUACUGCACUCAUCUAGGUGGGCAAUUAUUUAUUUGGGUGCCUGGCUCUCUCUCUACCUCUCUAGACAUAAGGUCAGCUCCUGGAGGACAGGGCUUGCAUUGUAGACAUCUUUAUAUCUUCAGAGUCUGGUAAAUAGUCUACCUUCAGUAUAUAUUUGUUGAGUAAAACUUUUGAUUUAACGAAUUUUAAGUGGUAGAUGAGCCUGUAUUUUUAUUUUUGAAAACUAGAUAUUCAUUGUAAAAGUAAAGCAAGUCCAUAGUAAAAAUUAAAAGAGUACAAAAGGGUAAAAAUAAAAAUAAAAUUCCCACCA